rnacentral:rRNA from 1 species
GAGUUUGAUCCUGGCUCAGGACGAACGCUGGCGGCGUGCCUAAUACAUGCAAGUCGUACGAACAGCGGAAAGUGCUUGCACUUUCCAAGUAAGUGGCGAACGGGUGAGUAACACGUGAAUAACCUACCUCAAAGUCUGGGAUAACCAUUGGAAACAGUGACUAAUACCGGAUAAAACCCAAGUGCACAUGCACUAAGGUUAAAAGCUGCGUUUGCAGCGCUUUAAGAUGGAUUCGCGGUGCAUUAG